rnacentral:rRNA from 1 species
UACGGAGGGUGCAAGCGUUAUCCGGAUUUAUUGGGUUUAAAGGGUGCGUAGGCGGGAUAUUAAGUCAGUGGUGAAAUCUCUCUGCUCAACAGAGAAACUGCCAUUGAUACUGAUGUUCUUGAAUUUAGUUGAAGUAGGCGGAAUGAGACAUGUAGCGGUGAAAUGCAUAGAUAUGUCUCAGAACACCGAUUGCGAAGGCAGCUUACUAAGCUAAUAUUGACGCUGAGGCACGAAAGCGUGGGUAGCGAACAGGAUUAGAUACCCUGGUAGUCCACGCUGUAAACGAUGAUUACUAGCUGUUGGCGAUACAAUGUCAGUGGCCAAGCGAAAGUGAUAAGUAAUCCACCUGGGGAGUACGUUCGCAAGAAUGAAACUCAAAGGAAUUGACGGGGGCCCGCACAAGCGGUGGAGCAUGUGGUUUAAUUCGAUGAUACGCGAGGAACCUUACCAGGGCUUAAAUGUAGUUUGACCGAUUUGGAAACAGAUCUUCUUUUUAAGCAGACUACAAGGUGCUGCAUGGUUGUCGUCAGCUCGUGCCGUGAGGUGUCGGGUUAAGUCCCUUAACGAGCGCAACCCCUAUCUCUAGUUGCCAGCGAGUAAUGUCGGGGACUCUAGAGAAACUGCCCGCGCAAGCGGAGAGGAAGGCGGGGAUGACGUCAAAUCAUCACGGCCCUUACGUCCUGGGCCACACACGUGCUACAAUGGUCGGUACAGAGGGCAGCUACCAGGUGACUGGAUGCAAAUCUCUAAAGCCGAUCUCAGUUCGGAUCGAAGUCUGCAACUCGACUUCGUGAAGCUGAAAUCGCUAGUAAUCGCGCAUCAGCCAUGGCGCGGUGAAUACGUUCCCGGGCCU